rnacentral:rRNA from 1 species
AAAUGAAUAGACGGGGGCCCGCACAAGCAGCGGAGCAUGUGGUUUAAUUCGAAGCAACGCGAAGAACCUUACCAGGUCUUGACAUCCAGGUAAAGCUGCAGAGAUGCAGUGUGUGCUUGCACAAUCUGAGACAGGUGGUGCAUGGUUGUCGUCAGCUCGUGUCGUGAGAUGUUGGGUUAAGUCCCGCAACGAGCGCAACCCCUGCGAAUAGUUACUAACAAGUAAAGUUGAGGACUCUAUUGGGACUGCCGUGGACAACACGGAGGAAGGUGGGGACGACGUCAAAUCAUCAUGCCCCUUAUGACCUGGGCUACACACGUGCUACAAUGGUCGCAACAAAGAGGAGCAAAACCGUAAGGUAGAGCAGAUCUCAAAAACGCGAUCUCAGUUCGGAUUGUGGGCUGCAACCCGCCCACAUGAAGUAGGAGUUGCUAGUAAUCGCGAAUCAGCAUGUCGCGGUGAAUACGUUCCCGGGCCUUGUACACACCGCCCGU